rnacentral:rRNA from 1 species
GAUGAACGCUGGCGGCGUGCCUAAUACAUGCAAGUCGAGCGAAUGGAUUAAGAGCUUGCUCUUAUGAAGUUAGCGGCGGACGGGUGAGUAACACGUGGGUAACCUGCCCAUAAGACUGGGAUAACUCCGGGAAACCGGGGCUAAUACCGGAUAACAUUUUGAACCGCAUGGUUCGAAAUUGAAAGGCGGCUUCGGCUGUCACUUAUGGAUGGACCCGCGUCGCAUUAGCUAGUUGGUGAGGUAACGGCUCACCAAGGCAACGAUGCGUAGCCGAGCUGAGAGGGUGAUCGGCCACGCUGGGACUGAGACACGGCCCAGACUACUACGGGAGGCAGCAGUAGGGAUUCUUCCGCAAUGGACGAAAGUCUGACGGAGCAACGCCGCGUGAGUGAUGAAGGCUUUCGGGUCGUAAAACUCUGUUGUUAGGGAAGAACAAGUGCUAGUUGAAUAAGCUGGCACCCUGACGGUACCUAACCAGAAAGCCACGGCUAACUACGUGCCAGCCGCCGCAGUAA